rnacentral:rRNA from 1 species
CCUACGGGUGGCAGCAGUGAGGAAUAUUGGUCAAUGGGCGAGAGCCUGAACCAGCCAAGUCGCGUGAAGGAUGAAGGAUCUAUGGUUUGUAAACUUCUUUUAUAUGGGAAUAAAGUGAGGCACGUGUUCCUUUUUGUAUGUACUAUAUGAAUAAGCAUCGGCUAACUCCGUGCCAGCAGCCGCGGUAAUACGGAGGAUCCGAGCGUUAUCCGGAUUUAUUGGGUUUAAAGGGAGCGUAGAUGGUUUGUUAAGUCAGCGGUGAAAGUUUGUGGCUCAACCGUAAAAUUGCCAUUGAUACUGGUAGCCUUGAGUACAUUUGAGGUAGGCGGAAUUCGUGGUGUAGCGGUGAAAUGCAUAGAUAUCACGAAGAACUCCGAUUGCGAAGGCAGCUUACUAAACUGUAACUGACACUGAUGCACGAAAGUGUGGGGAUCAAACAGGAUUAGAUACCCCAGUAGUC